AUUAAAAUCAAAAACAAGUAUACUAAAGUCCAUAAAAUUACCACGUGGUAAUUUUAUGGACUUUAGUAUACUUGUUUUUGAUUUUAAUGGAAUACA